AGCCAUGCCGCGUGCAGGAAGAAUGCCCUAUGGGUUGUAAACUGCUUUUAUUUAGGAAUAAACUCUUGUACGUGUACAAGCCUGAAGGUACUAAAUGAAUAAGCACCGGCUAACUCCGUGCCAGCAGCCGCGGUAAUACGGAGGGUGCAAGCGUUAUCCGGAAUCAUUGGGUUUAAAGGGUCCGCAGGCGGAUUUAUAAGUCAGUGGUGAAAUCCUAUCGCUUAACGAUAGAACUGCCAUUGAUACUGUAAGUCUUGAAUUCGGUCGAAGUGGGCGGAAUGUGUAGUGUAGCGGUGAAAUGCAUAGAUAUUACACAGAACACCGAUAGCGAAGGCAGCUCACUAGGCCUGGAUUGACGCUCAGGGACGAAAGCGUGGGGAUCAAACAGGAUUAGAUACCCUGGUAGUCCACGCUGUAAACGAUGAUUACUCGUUUUCGGCGAUAUACUGUCGGAGACUAAGCGAAAGUGAUAAGUAAUCCACCUGGGGAGUACGAUCGCAAGGUUG
rnacentral:rRNA from 1 species